UGUUGAAACACCAGUUCCUAUAUGAUAACCAAAGUUAAGCAACAUCGAGCCCAGUCAGUACCUAGAUGGGUGACUGCUUAGGAAUACUAGGUGCUGUAAG
rnacentral:rRNA from 1 species